GACGAACGCUGGCGGCGUGCUUAACACAUGCAAGUCGAACGGAAAGGCCCUGCUUUUGUGGGGUGCUCGAGUGGCGAACGGGUGAGUAACACGUGAGUAACCUGCCCUUGACUUUGGGAUAACUUCAGGAAACUGGGGCUAAUACCGGAUAGGAGCUCCUGCUGCAUGGUGGGGGUUGGAAAGUUUCGGCGGUUGGGGAUGGACUCGCGGCUUAUCAGCUUGUUGGUGGGGUAGUGGCUUACCAAGGCUUUGACGGGUAGCCGGCCUGAGAGGGUGACCGGCCACAAUGGGACUGAGAUACGGCCCAGACUCCUACGGGAGGCAGCAGUGGGGAAUAUUGCACAAUGGGCGGAAGCCUGAUGCAGCAACGCCGCGUGCGGGAUGACGGCCUUCGGGUUGUAAACCGCUUUCGCCGGUGACGAAGCGUGAGUGACGGUAAUGGGUAAAGAAGCACCGGCUAACUACGUG
rnacentral:rRNA from 1 species